UACAGAGGUCCCAAGCGUUGUUCGGAUUCAUUGGGCGUAAAGAGCUCGUAGGCGGCUUGGCAAGUGGAUGGUGAAAUCCCUCGGCUUAACCGAGGAACUGCCGUCCAAACUGCUUUGCUUGAGGCCGGGAGAGGCGAGUGGAAUUCCCAGUGUAGCGGUGAAAUGCGUAGAUAUUGGGAGGAACACCAGUGGCGAAGGCGGCUCGCUGGACCGGUUCUGACGCUGAUGCGCGAAAGCGUGGGGAGCAAACGGG
rnacentral:rRNA from 1 species